UGUGGUUAAUUCGAUGCAACGCGAAGAACCUUACCUGGUCUUGACAUCCCGGAGACCCUUAGGAAACUAGGGGUGCUUCCAUCUGGAGAAUCUGGAGACAGGCGCUGCAUGGCUGUCGUCAGCUCGUGUCGUGAGAUGUUGGGUUAAGUCCCGCAACGAGCGCAACCCUUGCCUUUAGUUGCCAGCAGUUCGGCUGGGCACUCUAAAGGGACUGCCGGUGUUAAACCGGAGGAAGGUGGGGAUGACGUCAAGUCCUCAUGGCCUUUAUGACCAGGGCUACACACGUACUACAAUGGCCGAUACAAAGGGCAGCGACACUGCGAGGUGAAGCCAAUCCCGUAAAAUCGGUCUCAGUCCGGAUUGGAGUCUGCAACUCGACUCCAUGAAGUUGGAAUCGCUAGUAAUCGUGGAUCAGCAUGCCACGGUGAAUACGUUCCCGGGCCUU
rnacentral:rRNA from 1 species